rnacentral:rRNA from 1 species
GAUGAACGCUGGCGGCGUGCUUAACACAUGCAAGUCGAACGGAAAGGCCCAAGCUUGCUUGGGUACUCGAGUGGCGAACGGGUGAGUAACACGUGGGUGAUCUGCCCUGGACUUCGGGAUAAGCUUGGGAAACUGGGUCUAAUACCGGAUAGGACCACAUUUUGGAUGGUGUGGUGGAAAGUUUUUCGGUGUGGGAUGAGCUCGCGGCCUAUCAGCUUGUUGGUGGGGUAAUGGCCUACCAAGGCGUCGACGGGUAGCCGGCCUGAGAGGGUGUACGGCCACAUUGGGACUGAGAUACGGCCCAGACUCCUACGGGAGGCAGCAGUGGGGAAUAUUGCACAAUGGGCGCAAGCCUGAUGCAGCGACGCCGCGUGGGGGAUGACGGCCUUCGGGUUGUAAACUCCUUUCGCUAGGGACGAAGCGCAAGUGACGGUACCUGGAGAAGAAGCACCGGCUAACUACGUG